rnacentral:lncRNA from 1 species
AAAAAAAAAAGAGUUGAGAAUUACUUAGGGCUAGGGCUAUCUAGGUGCUGCAAGGGCAGCACAAGGACAUCUGCUGUUGCCCUACAAUACAAAGCUUAUAGAGAAUUCAGAACUGCCAUUGACUCAGAUAUAAAAAGAGUGAAAGACUUUUUAGCUGACCUCCAAGAAUACCUAACCUCCCUCUCAGAGGUAGUCCUUCAAAAUAGAAAAAGAUUAGACCUGAUAUUCCUUAAAGAAGGAGUCUGUGUGCUAUACUGAAAGAAAAAUGUUGCUUCUAUACAGACCAUUCAGGAGUAAUUAAAGACUCCAUAAAUAAACUUAGAAAAAGGUUAGACAAAAGACAG